GAUGAACGCUGGCGGCGUGCCUAAUACAUGCAAGUCGAGCGAACGGACGAGAAGCUUGCUUCUCUGAUGUUAGCGGCGGACGGGUGAGUAACACGUGGAUAACCUACCUAUAAGACUGGGAUAACUUCGGGAAACCGGAGCUAAUACCGGAUAAUAUUUUGAACCGCAUGGUUCAAAAGUGAGAGACGGUCUUGCUGUCACUUAUAGAUGGAUCCGCGCUGCAUUAGCUAGUUGGUAAGGUAACGGCUUACCAAGGCAACGAUGCAUAGCCGACCUGAGAGGGUGAUCGGCCACACUGGAACUGAGACACGGUCCAGACUCCUACGGGAGGCAGCAGUAGGGAAUCUUCCGCAAUGGGCGAAAGCCUGACGGAGCAACGCCGCGUGAGUGAUGAAGGUCUUCGGAUCGUAAAACUCUGUUAUUAGGGAAGAACAUAUGUGUAAGUAACUGUGCACAUCUUGACGGUACCUAAUCAGAAAGCCACGGCUAACUACGUGCCAGCAGCCGCGGUAAUACGUAGGUGGCAAGCGUUAUCCGGAAUUAUUGGGCGUAAAGCGCGCGUAGGCGGUUUUUUAAGUCUGAUGUGAAAGCCCACGGCUCAACCGUGGAGGGUCAUUGGAAACUGGAAAACUUGAGUGCAGAAGAGGAAAGUGGAAUUCCAUGUGUAGCGGUGAAAUGCGCAGAGAUAUGGAGGAACACCAGUGGCGAAGGCGACUUUCUGGUCUGUAACUGACGCUGAUGUGCGAAAGCGUGGGGAUCAAACAGGAUUAGAUACCCUGGUAGUCCACGCCGUAAACGAUGAGUGCCAAGUGUUAGGGGGUUUCCGCCCCUUAGUGCUGCAGCUAACGCAUUAAGCACUCCGCCUGGGGAGUACGACCGCAAGGUUGAAACUCAAAGGAAUUGACGGGGACCCGCACAAGCGGUGGAGCAUGUGGUUUAAUUCGAAGCAACGCGAAGAACCUUACCAAAUCUUGACAUCCUUUGACAACUCUAGAGAUAGAGCCUUCCCCUUCGGGGGGGCAAAGUGACAGGUGGUGCAUGGUUGUCGUCAGCUCGUGUCGUGAGAUGUUGAGUUAAGUCCCGCAACGAGCGCAACCCUUAAGCUUAGUUGCCAUCAUUAAGUUGGGCACUCUAAGUUGACUGCCGGUGACAAACCGGAGGAAGGUGGGGAUGACGUCAAAUCAUCAUGCCCCUUAUGAUUUGGGCUACACACGUGCUACAAUGGACAAUACAAAGGGCAGCGAAACCGCGAGGUCAAGCAAAUCCCAUAAAGUUGUUCUCAGUUCGGAUUGUAGUCUGCAACUCGACUACAUGAAGCUGGAAUCGCUAGUAAUCGUAGAUCAGCAUGCUACGGUGAAUACGUUCCCGGGUCU
rnacentral:rRNA from 1 species